UAUAGAUUUUACCUGACCACUAUGUUCUACAAGAUCCAUUGUUGUACAAUUUAUGAUUUGUUUCGCUGUGGAUCCAAAAGCAACUACUGUUGUUGAUGCGCUAUCAUCAUAUGCUUCUAGAUACGCUCAACAUCUAAAAUUAAUGAACAAAUUAUUAUUUCUUAAUGUUAACAGUUAAUAUGUUUUAAUUAUAAUGUAAAAAUUUGUAAUUUUAGAAUAUCACAAGAAAUGAUUACCUGUGUUGUGAGAUCAUCAUAUUUUUGCAACUAUAACAAAUGAAGUUCUCGUCCUUUUCGUAUCUAGUUGCUUUAUUACAAUUUCUGCAGGACAUGUAGUAGAAUGGUUGAUGUAAAUCAACCAUUGAAAAUCUUCCUUUAACCAAAAAUGUUGGCCACUGCGUUAAAAUGGAGUAGUUAAGUGCAUCACAUACUAAUAAAAAAUAGAUAUUUAUGGAAAUAAUUAUUAUUUAAAUAUAGAAGUAAAAUAAUUUUUAAACAGAAAUAAGAGAUAUGAUUUUAAACAAUAAAAUUUAUGACAGUUUCUACAAUUUCAGAGAUAUUUAUUAUUGGGUCAACAGAGCUGCUUGAAACUGAUCCACUUGGUGUAUCGAAAUUGUUUCCAAUUAUUUCUUCGAGUAAUCCAUCAUUUUGUGUUGCCCUAAGAGUUUGGAUUGAUAAUUAAAGUGAAGUAUUAAAAUACGAGAUAAUACAUGUUGGAUAUAUAUGGUAGUAUAUUAUAAAAAACCAAUAUAAAAUUUAUAUUCUAUUUAAAUGAGAAAUGGAAUAAAGUUUUUUAGAUAAGUUGUUUACCAUGUACGCAAUGCAACAACAGAUGGAAGAAGAGGCUCGAUGGUGAAGACACUCGUCAGUCUUGAUGACAAAGAUAGACCUACAUUAUAAAUAUGUACGAAUAAAUAUACAAAUAUACAAUGGAUAAUUGAUAAGAAUAUUAAUUCUAACGGGAACUACCAUUAUAAGAAGAAACUCUGAUUCGUAUUUCCAAAAUGAUUGAUUUUGCUAAAAUAAGGUUAAAAAUUUCUUGGCAUUCAUCGUGAGCGAAUCGAUUCCACAUCGUUAAACGCAACAGUUUUAGGCUAUCAAAAUUAUAAGCAGAAUUAAAUUUCUAAUAAUAAGAGUAUUAUAAGAUAUUAAAUUAAAAACUUGAUAAAUGUAAGCGGAAAAGCUUACCUCUUUUACACUCAAUCAAUCCUAAGAACUGUCUUGGCGAUUAUACUGGCAGUGAAUGUUCCCUUAACUGCUGAAACUCAGUUCAUAAUUUUUUGUUUGUGAGAAAUAGAAUGAGGUCAUUCAAAUUGUUGUAACUAGAUAACUAAGGCUGGCGUGCGUCAAUAGACCUGGUCAAACAACCACACACUCACAGAAAAGCUUGAUGAAUCUCUUCGAAGUUACAUGGCUGGUUGCUGAAUUGCUGUUACUAGAGUCUUCUAACGUAAAUUAACGCAUGAAAAAUUUAGCAGUUAGCAGCGCUAAAGUGGAUGUUGGCUAGUGAUUGCAAAUGCAUCUCUUGAAUGUAUGAUACUCUAUAUUCUGAAAUGGAACAAAUAAUCAAUGUGUUUCUGACUGAUUGUCACA